rnacentral:rRNA from 1 species
UAGUCUACGCCGUAAACGAUGGAUACUAGUUGUUUGGCCUUCGGGCUGAGUGACUAAGCGAAAGUGAUAAGUAUCCCACCUGGGGAGUACGUUCGCAAGAAUGAAAUUCAAAGGAAUUGACGGGGGCCCGCACAAGCGGUGGAGCAUGUGGUUUAAUUCGAUGAUACGCGAGGAACCUUACCAGGGCUUAAAUGUAGUCUGACAGCUUUAGAGAUAGAGUUUUCUUCGGACAGAUUACAAGGUGCUGCAUGGUUGUCGUCAGCUCGUGCCGUGAGGUGCCAGGUUAAGUCCUAUAACGAGCGCAACCCCUGUGGUUAGUUGCCAGCGAGUAAUGUCGGGAACUCUAGCCAGACUGCCGGUGCAAACCGUGAGGAAGGUAAGGAUGACGUCAAGUCAGCAUGCCCCUUACGCUCUGGGCUACACACGUGCUACAAUGGUCGUGACAAAGAGUUGCUAGUCUGCGAAGGCAAGCCAAUCUCAUAAACGCGGCCUUAGUUCGGAUUG